CAGAUUUCUAAGUAAUAAUUUAGUGUUUACUAAAAGGAUGACAAUAAUAUUUGUUUUUGGAAUAAGGAAGAGGGAGGUCACGGUGAGAGUUGUUAAGCUUGGACUAGUUUUGAAAUUCUAAAAUUGGUGAUAAAGCCCAAUUUGAUGCAGAUGAUCCAGAACGAUUUCAUUACUGCAGUUGAUAAUUUUACCAUACACACCUUUCCUAAGAGGGGAAGGAAGGUUCCCGUAAGAUUUAAAAGUAUGACUGGAAAAGAAAAAUGUAUCCAUUAACUAUUCAGCAAUCAAUUGCUAUACAUUUAAGCCUCUGGACAACUUCACAAAAAUCACCAGCACCGUAUCAGGACCAACCAGCACAGAAUUAACACAUGUCUAAACUGAGAAAAUGUACAAUUUUAAAAAAUUGCACUGGUUUGGUGACCAAAAAACAAAUUCGUGUUCAUUUGGUUAAAGAAAGCAGGCU
rnacentral:lncRNA from 1 species